GGGCCCGUAGCUUAGUUGGUUGGAGCACCCGGCUCAUAACCGGGGGGUCAAGGGUUCAAGUCCCUUCGGGCCCA
rnacentral:tRNA from 1 species